GGAGGGGUGGCCGAGCGGUUUAAGGCGCACGCCUGGAAAGCGUGUUGGGGUUAACGCCUCUCAAGGGUUCGACCCCCUUCCUCUCCGCCA
rnacentral:tRNA from 1 species